GAAGGAAAAUCCGUAGUGAGCCCAGAUCACCAGGCUUUUCAUGGAAAGCCCAAGUUUCACAAUGCUAGAGGUUGAGAUUUGAUCCUGACUCUACAUUUUGAUGGAUGCAAAAAACUUUGUAUCAAAUCGCACUUACUUCUUUCUCCCAAUCAGUGGAGGCAGUGAUGACAAUCAAAAUUAGUGUCUGCAGAGCUAUGCCAGUAAUCAUCCCUCCCCAGAUACCCUGCAGUUGAAUGUGUUCCCAAGUAUUAAACAAGAAAUGGAAGCUAAGAAAAUUUUGUUGCCAUAUCAAGCUGGUGAUAUCUAAACAAGUUUUGACCCAGUUCGGCUGACCGAACCAAAUGUGAUGUGUCGGAAAAGCAGCAGCACCAACACCAAUGUCGACACAGGUGCACCAGCUAUUUGGAAGCACCCAGGUGACAUAGACUAAUGAACGUGCACAUUUUAAAUGAUUAUGGCAUCCAUAUGAAAACAUGUUCAUGUAAAAGAAAAUGGCGGGUUCAAUUCAGUAAGGUAGGAAGA